UCCUUUUCUCCUGUCAUGUAGUCACAGUGUGUGUAAAGCUUGUCUACAGCAGGAGUGUCCAGUCUGCAGGAGAAACAGCCUGUGUGUGUUUGGUGUGUUAAGAUUCUUAGAAGCAGAGAAACGACAACUUCACUCCCAUAGCUGAAACACUAGACUGAGGAAGGCAAAAUGGCAGCUGGGUACAUGGAUAAAGAUUUUAAACUGGUCACCCCUGAUCCUCUUGUG